rnacentral:piRNA from 1 species
UGCAAUGGGUGACAUUGAGAAUGCUGG